UCCGGGGUGGUGUAAUUGGUAGCACCGGGACCUUUGGAGUCUCUAGCCCAGGUUCGAGCCCUGGCCCCGGAG
rnacentral:tRNA from 1 species